AUACGGAGGAUGCGAGCGUUGUCCGGAUUUAUUGGGUUUAAAGGGUGCGUAGGCGGACGAUUAAGUCAGCUGUGAAAUGCCCGCGCUUAACGCGGGAAGUGCAGUUGAUACUGGUUGUCUGGAGUGCCGUUGCCGUGGGGGGAAUGUGUAGUGUAGCGGUGAAAUGCAUAGAUAUUGCCCAGAACACCGAUUGCGAAGGCAUCUCACGAAUCCGAGACUGACGCUGAGGCACGAAAGCGUGGGGAUCAAACAGGAUUAGAUACCCUGGUAGUCCACGCAGUAAACGAUGAUAACUAACCGUCGGCGAUAGAAUGUCGGUGGCCAAGCGAAAGCGAUAAGUUAUCCACCUGGGGAGUACGUUCGCAAGAAUGAAACUCAAAUGAAUUGACGGGG
rnacentral:rRNA from 1 species